AAUCGACAAAAGCAUCACCAUCCGAGGUAUCAUUUGCAUAAGGCAAUAGGUGUGGAUUUCGCGAGCUCCAGGGGGCUGGUAAUUCACCAGAGAUAGCAAAGGAGAUGGACGUGCACGGCCACGGGAUCCCGGCGACGGUGGCCAGCACGAACUACAUGGGCAUGAACGCGCUCCACGAUGCAGGUGGCUACGGCAAGCUGCCCGUCUACCAGUAUCUCGUCAAGGAGGCCAGAAAACAGGAAAGCUUGUGUUUGGUCAAGUUCAAGCAGCAAGAAAGAAGAAGCACAGAAGGUAGUUUCUGCUAUUUUCUUUCAAAUUGUUCAUAUGCUCUUUUUCUCUACCGUAUAUUUACUUUGGCAAGUUAAACCUUUCAAGUUUAGUGCAUCCGAGACAAAUUCUGGAUGCUAAAAUGAUUUCAGAAUCAUUCAUGUGCAAAAACUAAAUUUAAUUUAAAGGUUCCAAUUCUGUAUGACAUUUCUGGGAGAAGGCAUGGUAUUUAACAUAAUCUUAGUUGCUGUAAACCUUCUUGUUUAAUAGUAUGAUUGGAGAUCUCAGUGGUUGUACAACUGGUAACUGAAUAUAGGUUAUUCAUUCUCUCUGCUGGUAUGUGAUAAUAAUAAUGAUGACUUAAAAUGAGUAACAAGUUAAGGUACUGUCUGGGUGACAAUUGUAAAUGCCUCUGGGUACUUGCACUGUGAAUUUGGAUAAUGGGUUGUUCAUUUCGAGAUGUAUACAGGUUUUUGUGUAGCAAUUGCGAAGAAAACUGCAAAGACCCUUGAGCUGAACAUGGUACCAAUUCUCCUAAUUGCAUGCCACAUCGCCAUCCAUUAGCUGUGUAAUACAAGGGCUGCACGGGGUAUUACCAAUGGAUGACAACAUCAGCUUCCAUAAGAAGCCUCUGGAUGGUGAUUGAAGGGAGGAAAAUGGUCCAAACGAUGGGGUUGUGAGCAGAGUAUGCUGUCACUGUUCGAGACAAUGAAAUGGCAUGAAAUCAGGUAUGAGCAAGGCAGUCUGAUAUUCUCGUUGGUGAUUCAGUUAUGAUUACCCGCUCGAUCUUUUUGAUAUGACAUCCCAUGUUUCCAUUUCAAUUACUUGAGGUCAGAUAAUUGAAAAAAAAAUUCAAGUUCUGGAUUCUCUCAGCAGUGCACUAUCUUCAUAUAAACAAAAUCAUGUAAAAGCUUACAGAGCAUAGCUUAGUUUAGAGUCAUCCAUUUCUAAUGCUAUGCGUGCAAUACAUACCAUCAAGAGGAAAAAGAUAGCAGGAUAGCUUCUUUUUUCAAGCAUAUGUGGAUGUUGAACUUGAAAUGGUUAAUAUGGUAUGAACCUUUCAGAUUAGCUACACAGCGCAGAAGGGAGCAUUCAAAUACUUACGAAUCAUGAGUUCUAGCAACAGUCUACUACUUCAGAGUGGGUAUUUUCAACUUCGUGGUUGAGACAAACACUUUGAUAUAUCAAUUUCUCUCUGGCAAAUUGGCACCGUAGGUACAUAUAUAUAUAUUGACACCGUAUAUAAUGCUUCUGCAGUCUGCACAGCUCAUGUUGAACUGGAAAUAAUACAUCAAUGGCAGCUACGUACUAAAUAGUCAUAGUCGUCACCGACGCGGGUAUCAUAGGGUAUCAUACUAUCAUGUCUACUAGGCCGGCAGCACCGAUGGAGCGACCCUGCAGGUGUUGUAGGACUGGCAGUGGCAACACUUCCUCUGCCCCGCCAUGCCCGGAUACACUCUGGUCGUGUCCCAGCAGUUGUUGCAGACGAUCCAUCCCUGCACCGACCCACAAACACAUGCCAGGAGUAAUGGCAUCAGAAAACCAUCACAUUUAUAUAACUGGCUACUCUACUUCCAAAAUAUUGGUAGACGAGUCUGGGUCAUUUCGAGCCUUUUUCUUAAAAAAAAAAUCAAAACUAUGUUUUUAAAGUUUCAAAAAUCAUGUACUCUUUUCCACAAGUGCACAUGCACUCUUAUUACGUUCCUAUAAAAUUUCGUACUGAAGUGCUAUGUUUGUUUGAGGGCUACAAAGAUAUGUUAGCUGCCACUGACCUUUCCCAUGUGUAAGAAGCUCGCCUCAAUCUGAAAAAUAAAAUAUACCAAUAAAUAACACUCAUGCCAGGGCCAAGAACAUGAAGGGAAAAUUCACACGAAAAGGGGAUCAGACCAUGCUGAUGUUGUGGAUCUUACUGAGAAAAUACCUACCUCGGCAUCCAAGGCCCUCAAGAAUUUCUCCAUGUCAAAGAUGGACACGGAACACAUGGGGCAAGUGAACCUGCAAGUGCGUUCAAAAACAGCGUCGUCAUCUAUCUUAUCCAAGCAAGAAGACCAAGAUCACACGAAAGGGAUGGGAGGCCGGUGGGUAGGCAUGGGCGAUUGGUCACAAUACUAGCAACAGAUUUUUAUGAUGGUUUGUUUUCACCAGCGUUUAGCUGCACUUUGACAGUAGACUAUGCGAUAUUUUGUAAUAGAGUUCAGAAACUGGGCAACGCACAGUUCCAAAAUUAUGCACUGCAUUAUUACUGAAAUAAAUUUUAUGAUGCAUUA